UUAAGCGACUAAGCGUACACGGUGGAUGCCCUGGCAGUCAGAGGCGAUGAAGGACGUGCUAAUCUGCGAUAAGCGUCGGUAAGGUGAUAUGAACCGUUAUAACCGGCGAUUUCCGAAUGGGGAAACCCAGUGUGUUUCGACACACUAUCAUUAACUGAAUCCAUAGGUUAAUGAGGCGAACCGGGGGAACUGAAACAUCUAAGUACCCCGAGGAAAAGAAAUCAACCGAGAUUCCCCCAGUAGCGGCGAGCGAACGGGGAGCAGCCCAGAGCCUGAAUCAGUGUGUGUGUUAGUGGAAGCGUCUGGAAAGGCGCGCGAUACAGGGUGACAGCCCCGUACACAAAAAUGCACAUGCUGUGAGCUCGAUGAGUAGGGCGGGACACGUGGUAUCCUGUCUGAAUAUGGGGGGACCAUCCUCCAAGGCUAAAUACUCCUGACUGACCGAUAGUGAACCAGUACCGUGAGGGAAAGGCGAAAAGAACCCCGGCGAGGGGAGUGAAAAAGAACCUGAAACCGUGUACGUACAAGCAGUGGGAGCACGCUUAGGCGUGUGACUGCGUACCUUUUGUAUAAUGGGUCAGCGACUUAUAUUCUGUAGCAAGGUUAACCGAAUAGGGGAGCCGAAGGGAAACCGAGUCUUAACUGGGCGUUAAGUUGCAGGGUAUAGACCCGAAACCCGGUGAUCUAGCCAUGGGCAGGUUGAAGGUUGGGUAACACUAACUGGAGGACCGAACCGACUAAUGUUGAAAAAUUAGCGGAUGACUUGUGGCUGGGGGUGAAAGGCCAAUCAAACCGGGAGAUAGCUGGUUCUCCCCGAAAGCUAUUUAGGUAGCGCCUCGUGAAUUCAUCUCCGGGGGUAGAGCACUGUUUCGGCAAGGGGGUCAUCCCGACUUACCAACCCGAUGCAAACUGCGAAUACCGGAGAAUGUUAUCACGGGAGACACACGGCGGGUGCUAACGUCCGUCGUGAAGAGGGAAACAACCCAGACCGCCAGCUAAGGUCCCAAAGUCAUGGUUAAGUGGGAAACGAUGUGGGAAGGCCCAGACAGCCAGGAUGUUGGCUUAGAAGCAGCCAUCAUUUAAAGAAAGCGUAAUAGCUCACUGGUCGAGUCGGCCUGCGCGGAAGAUGUAACGGGGCUAAACCAUGCACCGAAGCUGCGGCAGCGACGCUUAUGCGUUGUUGGGUAGGGGAGCGUUCUGUAAGCCUGUGAAGGUGUGCUGUGAGGCAUGCUGGAGGUAUCAGAAGUGCGAAUGCUGACAUAAGUAACGAUAAAGCGGGUGAAAAGCCCGCUCGCCGGAAGACCAAGGGUUCCUGUCCAACGUUAAUCGGGGCAGGGUGAGUCGACCCCUAAGGCGAGGCCGAAAGGCGUAGUCGAUGGGAAACAGGUUAAUAUUCCUGUACUUGGUGUUACUGCGAAGGGGGGACGGAGAAGGCUAUGUUGGCCGGGCGACGGUUGUCCCGGUUUAAGCGUGUAGGCUGGUUUUCCAGGCAAAUCCGGAAAAUCAAGGCUGAGGCGUGAUGACGAGGCACUACGGUGCUGAAGCAACAAAUGCCCUGCUUCCAGGAAAAGCCUCUAAGCAUCAGGUAACAUCAAAUCGUACCCCAAACCGACACAGGUGGUCAGGUAGAGAAUACCAAGGCGCUUGAGAGAACUCGGGUGAAGGAACUAGGCAAAAUGGUGCCGUAACUUCGGGAGAAGGCACGCUGAUAUGUAGGUGAAGCGACUUGCUCGUGGAGCUGAAAUCAGUCGAAGAUACCAGCUGGCUGCAACUGUUUAUUAAAAACACAGCACUGUGCAAACACGAAAGUGGACGUAUACGGUGUGACGCCUGCCCGGUGCCGGAAGGUUAAUUGAUGGGGUUAGCGGUAACGCGAAGCUCUUGAUCGAAGCCCCGGUAAACGGCGGCCGUAACUAUAACGGUCCUAAGGUAGCGAAAUUCCUUGUCGGGUAAGUUCCGACCUGCACGAAUGGCGUAAUGAUGGCCAGGCUGUCUCCACCCGAGACUCAGUGAAAUUGAACUCGCUGUGAAGAUGCAGUGUACCCGCGGCAAGACGGAAAGACCCCGUGAACCUUUACUAUAGCUUGACACUGAACAUUGAGCCUUGAUGUGUAGGAUAGGUGGGAGGCUUUGAAGUGUGGACGCCAGUCUGCAUGGAGCCGACCUUGAAAUACCACCCUUUAAUGUUUGAUGUUCUAACGUUGACCCGUAAUCCGGGUUGCGGACAGUGUCUGGUGGGUAGUUUGACUGGGGCGGUCUCCUCCUAAAGAGUAACGGAGGAGCACGAAGGUUGGCUAAUCCUGGUCGGACAUCAGGAGGUUAGUGCAAUGGCAUAAGCCAGCUUGACUGCGAGCGUGACGGCGCGAGCAGGUGCGAAAGCAGGUCAUAGUGAUCCGGUGGUUCUGAAUGGAAGGGCCAUCGCUCAACGGAUAAAAGGUACUCCGGGGAUAACAGGCUGAUACCGCCCAAGAGUUCAUAUCGACGGCGGUGUUUGGCACCUCGAUGUCGGCUCAUCACAUCCUGGGGCUGAAGUAGGUCCCAAGGGUAUGGCUGUUCGCCAUUUAAAGUGGUACGCGAGCUGGGUUUAGAACGUCGUGAGACAGUUCGGUCCCUAUCUGCCGUGGGCGCUGGAGAACUGAGGGGGGCUGCUCCUAGUACGAGAGGACCGGAGUGGACGCAUCACUGGUGUUCGGGUUGUCAUGCCAAUGGCACUGCCCGGUAGCUAAAUGCGGAAGAGAUAAGUGCUGAAAGCAUCUAAGCACGAAACUUGCCCCGAGAUGAGUUCUCCCUGACUCCUUGAGAGUCCUGAAGGAACGUUGAAGACGACGACGUUGAUAGGCCGGGUGUGUAAGCGCAGCGAUGCGUUGAGCUAACCGGUACUAAUGAACCGUGAGGCUUAACCUU
rnacentral:rRNA from 2 species